GAUGAACGCUGGCGGCGUGCCUAACACAUGCGAGUCGAACGGAUAGGCUUUGCUUUUGUGGGGUGCUCGAGUGGCGCACGGGUGAGUAACACGUGAGUAAUCUGCCUUUGAGUGUGGGAUAACUUCAGGAAACUGGGGCUAAUACCGGAUAGGAGAUCGUGCUGUUUGGUGGGGGUUGGAAAGUUUCGGCGGUUGGGGAUGGACGCGCGGCUUAUCAGCUUGUUGGGGGGGUAGUGGCUUAUCCAAGCUUUGACAGGUGGCCGGCCUGAGAGGGUGACCGGCCACAUUAGGACGAAGGUACGGACCAGGCUCCAACGGGAGGCAACGGUGGAGAAUGUUGCACAGUGGACGGGGGCCUGGUGCAACAACGCCGCGUGCGGGAAGACGGCCAUCGGGUUGGAAACCGCAUUCGGCUAUGACGGAGCGUGUAUGACGGUAAUAGAUUAAUAAGCACCGGCUAACUACGUG
rnacentral:rRNA from 1 species